UACAGAGGUCUCAAGCGUUGUUCGGAUUCAUUGGGCGUAAAGGGUGUGUAGGUGGCGCGCUAAGUCGGGUGUGAAAUUUCGGAGCUUAACUCCGAAACUGCAUUCGAUACUGGCGUGCUUGAGGACUGGAGAGGAGACUGGAAUUCAUGGUGUAGCAGUGAAAUGCGUAGAGAUCAUGAGGAACACCGGUGGCGAAGGCGGCCAUCUGGGAGGGCACUGACGCUGAGACGCGAAAGCGUGGGGAGCAAACAGG
rnacentral:rRNA from 1 species